rnacentral:tRNA from 2 species
GGGCAAUUGGCACAGUGGUAGCGCGCACGCUUCGCAUCUUGUGCUUGCGUGAGGUCCAGGGUUCAAUCCCCUGAUUGUCCA